CCCAACGCGAUAAGUACUCCGCCUGGGGACUACGGCCCGCAAGGCUAAAACUCAAAGGAAUUGACGGGGGGCCCGCACAAGCAGCGGAGCGUGUGGUUUUAAUUCGAUGAUACGCGAAGAACCUCACCCAGGUUUGACAUGCAUGUGGUACUGAUCCGAAAGGUGAAGGACCCCUCGGGGAGCAUGCACAGGUGUUGCACGGCCGUCGUCAGCUCGUGCCGUGAGGUGUUGGGUUAAGUCCCGCAACGAGCGCAACCCCUGUCGCCAGUUGUAUUUUUCUGGCGAGACUGCCGAGAAGACCUCGGAGGAAGGAGGGGACGAUGUCAGGUCAGCGUGGCCCUUACGCCUGGGGCUACACACACGCUACAAUGGGUGGUACAACGGGUUGCCAAGCCGCGAGGUGGAGCUAAUCCCAUCAAAGCCAUCCUCAGUUCGGAUUGCAGGCUGAAACCCGCCUGCAUGAAGCCGGAGCUUGCUAGUGCCUGCAGGUCAGCACUACUAGAGGAUCAACUACGUCAUAGCCUUAUACACUAAGAAUCUUGCGCAAUGGGCGAAAGCCUGACGCAGCAACGCCGCGUGAAGGACGAAGGCCCUCGGGUCGUAAACUUCUUUUGCGAGGGAAGAAGAUCUGACGGUACCUCGCGAAUAAGCCACGGCUAACUACGUGCCAGCAGCCGCGGUAAUACGUAGGUGGCAAGCGUUGUCCGGAUUUACUGGGCGUAAAGAGCCCGCAGGCGGUCCAAUAAGUUCUUGGUGAAAUCUCCUGGCUCAACUGGGAGGGUGCCUGGAAAACUAUUGGACUUGAGGCAGGGAGAGGGAUGUGGAAUUCCCGGUGUAGUGGUGAAAUGCGUAGAUAUCGGGAGGAACACCAGUGGCGAAGGCGGCAUCCUGGCCCUGUCCUGACGCUCAGGGGCGAAAGCGUGGGGAGCAAACCGGAUUAUAUACCCGGGUAGUCCACGCCGUAAACGAUGAGUACUAGGGGUAGGGGGUUUCGACCCCCUUU
rnacentral:rRNA from 1 species